UGCGCGCGGCGGGCUCAGAGCUGGGAGGUAAUUUCUUGCCCCAGACUUUGCAUCUCGCUCCCCAGCAGCUGAGGGUCCAAGUCUCCGGGACUGGGUGGUCAAUGUAGUUGGUAGGAAUGAAUCCGCGACUUUGCCUGGCCGAUAAGGUAGGAAAAGAGAAGACUGGGGUAGAACUGGGUGAUAGAGGGGAGUAAUUUUGAGUCUAAGGUGUGUAGGACACUUCCGUCCUGGAAGCUGGGGUCUGUGAGGCUAAAAGCCCAGACACCAAUUUACUGAGUGAUCACCCCUUGCGAAGGAUGGCACUAGGCGUUUUAUAUUUAAUCUUCACUUACCAAGAUUAAAGAUUAAACGGCCCUUUCUGAAUUCAAAGAGGCCCAAGUUGUCGCAUACACGUAGAACUUUAAGCUCACUUAUAUCCAUAAUAUUUCUUGUGGAAAAAUCCAGGGCCUGCCUGUGAGUGUCCCAGUGACUAAACACCUUAAUUUACAAAGGACAGUGUGACCUGUAAGCACCUGUUGGUCUGGUUUCUCUUGCAUAUGGGACUGCCUCAAGCCUGGGUUCUAAAUCUUGACAACAGAACAUAAUGGAACCAGCUGUGUCUGAAGGCAAAGGUCAAGUUGAGAGGAGAGACCUGUGUGAGAAGACUCUGAAUAUAGGCCAUCUAACCAGUUCCUAAAUCCUUCUGAUUUUUAGUCCUGGAUCAAACUGGGCCAAAUCUGAAGACAACAUACUUACGGAGUAUGACUUCUGACCUGGAUCUAAGCUUGUUCAGCAAGCUGCAAGGUUAUGAAUACCCUACUAUGGGGGAAGGGUGAUUUUGGAACGGGCUCAUUGUCACAGUUUUCCCCCUGGCCUCACCCCUGCCUGGUUGGACUCUCUUCAAAGUCUUAUUGUGCAUCCUGAUGUGAGUACAAACUGAAAGCUGUUUUUCUAUAGGCCCCAGGAGUGCCAGACAACACUGCUUUGGAAACUAUAAUCCCCGUAGUUAGAGAUAUCUGUUCUCCACAGCGUGGCAAAACAUGGUACAACUUUUGUGCGGAAGGACCCUGAUAAUUUGAACAGCUUCGGCAGCUUCAGUACAUCAGGGUAAGCUUUAAGAUGAUGUAACGUUGGCAUCUGGGAACCAGUACCUUCGGCCACAAUGGACAGGCCACCCUAGCCCACACCCUCCACUCUGGCAGCCUCAGCACAAGUUUGUCAAACAUCAGGAGCAGCACCUUCGACCUAUUUAAGCAAGAGCAGCGGGACACACACAUUGGCCGGGACACACAUGUGUGGUUGGGGUGACUGCGCUGGGGAUAUCUUAGCAGUGGAUCUCCGCAGGAAGCCAGAGCAGGUUAGGUUGGAAAAUGACAGAUUCUGUGUGGUGGCUGAGAGCACUGUUUGUCAGCACAUAUACGACAGCUCUUGGGGAGUCCUAUAAAUAUUGAGUACGUGAUGCAUGGUGGUGCUGAUACUGCUGGAAUCAUUGUAAGUGUUAAGCUGAUGAUGGAUCCCUAGGAACAACAUAGAGGAGCAGCUCAAUGCAUUCCUUCUUGACCUGUAUAAGCAAAGGAACUCUAGGUCUGGAAAAUAUAAGCCUGACUUGAGUCACUGCAGUAGAGAAUCUAGAUCAGCAUCAACUCAAAGACCCAGAGCUCACUGAAUGAAAGGAAGACUGAAAACCCUUGAGAAAGUGCCCUGAGGUAUUAUCACAGAGUGAGGACUAUCAUGGUAGGAAGAAAGUGGAAUCCGUGGAGCUACCCUACCGAAAUGGCGGAUCAAAGCACCCUGUUUAUCGUGGAAUCACAGAGAUUAGAACUAAUAAAGCCUCGAAAGAGGCAAAGAGGAUAAUCUUCACUAUACUCCCAUUUACAUUACUUGUUUGUCUUACGUAGAAGACAGAUCAUGGAGCAUAGUAGCGGACUCUCGUAAACCAAGUCAGGUAGAGGCUACAUUUAGUUCCAGACAGACUUUUCGACAUUGUAGAUCAAUACAUACCCUGGCACUUAGUAUGCAACUGUUCAUCUGAGAAAUGAUUUUAUUUCUACAAGGAAACACCACCAUCAAGUAACUUUCAUGUGGAAAAGAGAGUUUUCUCUAUCUUGCUACAGAAUUACAUCAGUUAUCCAGAGUCAUGUCAUGUUUUUACUCUAAAAGGCAUGCAUUUCUCAAUAUGGUGGCAAAGAGAAAUGUCUUGGAACCCGUUCCAGAGACAAAGGUAAGGAGUGAAUGAGUGGGGUCUAUAUGAUAAAUACAUGCUGACAUUCCUAUUUCCCUAAAUUUUUGGAUUCCUCCCU